rnacentral:rRNA from 1 species
GAAUUGACGGGGGCCCGCACAAGCGGUGGAGCAUGUGGUUUAAUUCGAUGCAACGCGAAGAACCUUACCUGGUCUUGACAUCCACAGAACUUUCCAGAGAUGGAUUGGUGCCUUCGGGAACUGUGAGACAGGUGCUGCAUGGCUGUCGUCAGCUCGUGUUGUGAAAUGUUGGGUUAAGUCCCGCAACGAGCGCAACCCUUAUCCUUUGUUGCCAGCGGUC